GUUGGCUACGGUGAUAUUUGUCCCACCACCCCUUUAGGGAAAGUUGUAGGCACGGUGUGCUGCAUCUGUGGAGUGCUUGUCAUCGCUCUGCCCAUUCCCAUCAUUGUGAACAAU
rfam:Stegodyphus mimosarum contig13061, whole genome shotgun sequence.